rnacentral:RNase_P_RNA from 1 species
UUGUAAAAGGAAGGGAGGAAAGUCUAGACCUUAAAAAACCAAGGAACGGUUAAGAGCCGUCCAUAUCGUAAGAUAUGAGGGAAAGUGUCACAGAAAAUAUACAGUGAAGUUUUAGUUUCUAAAACCACAAUGGUGAAAAGGCGAGGUAAGAGCUCACCGCUUUUCUUGUAAAAGAAAAGGCAGGAUAAACCCUCCUUAAGGCAAGAAUAAGCAGUAUGCAUAUCAUUGGUUUUAUGAUACAUACGGGUAAAUCGCAAAGAAUUUAUUAGUAAUAAUAAAUCAAGAUAGAUGUUUUCUUAAAUACAGAAUCUGGCUUAUACU